GUACACACAACAGAAAAACAAGUGUACUACAUGAGAGACAACUCUGAUGGAAAUGGACAUUCUGACCAGUACCAGGACUUCAUACAAAGAGAAUUGAAUGAGUUGCACAGGAUUCAGGAAGCUGAGAAACAAAUUCUGUUGGAUCUAAAGGAAAAAUCAAUGUUUGAGAAAUCACACAAUCUAGAGGCUGAAUUAGCUGCAAUACAGACACUGAAAAGAGAAUUAGAAGC